AGAUUAAUAAAAUGUGUAAUAAAUGUAUUGUUCAUUGUUCAUUCAUGUUUGUUAAUACAUUAAUGUUAACAAAUGACAUCUUAGUCGGCGCCAAUAGCCUUGCGGUUAGUGCGCAGACAUAUACAGCGCAACUGCGCUGACGGCGACCCGGGUUCGAGUCCUGUCUCGUGGUCCUUUGCCGAUCCCGCUCCCCUCUCUCUUCACCAAAAAAACACUUUCCUGUCUACUCUACACUGUCCUUUCCAAUAAAGGCAUAAAAAGCCCAUAAAUACAUCUUUAAAAAAAAAAAAAAAAAUUACAUCUUAUAAUAAAGUGUUACCAUUAAUAUUUAUUUAUCAUAUUUUUGAACUUAUUCAUCAUACUGUAUUUUCUCUCGUUAUUUCACAGGAGCUUCAUAAAAGACGGAGAAAGCCAGAGUCUUGUGCCCUGCGUUUAUCAGUAUCCUUCUGUUCGUUGGGUGAAAAAGAAAAACUCAAUAAACAAAGUAAAAAAUAAUUUGACUGAUAUCCCCCCUGCCCCCACCCAAGGUUUCUAUAGAUAUCACGAUAUAUCGAUAUCGUGAAUUUUUUAUGGCCACAAUAACCGUUAUAUGAAAAAUCUAAUAUCGUGACAGCCCUACCUUAAACAUGAGCUUUUAAAUAUCUUUUAUCGACUGAUUUCAUUAAAUAAAAAAAUACAAUACGAAAAACUAAUAAUGGCCAAUAACUGAUAUGAAAACUUCUGUAACGUCUGUCCCUAAUAGAUGAUCUUAUAUUACUGGAAGAAUGAAAGUACACUUGCCUGGAAAGCAGCUUGACUCUUCGUUUCAAACGUGUCUGAUGCUUUUUUGAGCCCUUCUCCAGUGAUCUGAUUGGCUGAUAUGUCAAAAAUCCUCAGUCUGGGCAUAGUGGCCGCCACAGACAUCAGUUCUGGAAGGAGGUCAUUGUUCAGAUGGUUGGCAGAGAUGCGCAGUUCCGUGAGGCUGGCCUGCAGUUUGAGCACUCUGAGGAGAGGAGUCAGAGGCAAACUGAGUCCACAGAAACACACAUGAUAACUGAAGAUAACCUAUAUCAGAAACGAGAGAAGUCAUCAGCUGUUAGAGAAGCACUAAGACUAGAAGGCGUGCGCGCUGAAGAAAUGUUUGCGGCCAGCUUCCCAGAUAUUAAAAAGCAUCAAAACCACCCCAUUUUUGGAAAGGAAUCAAGAGACAUUUUGAUUCCAUCAUUAAAAAAGUCAAGGCGGGAAACAGGAAGUCCAGUGCAGACCAUCAUAAUCUACAGGUUUUAAAGUGCUCCUCUCUGAUGUUCACUAUGAGAAGUCAUGGAUGGAGUGGACAAGAAAAAAGGACAAUGGUGUGGCAUCUCAGGAAGAGGUUCUUUAACUUCUACAGGCCAUUGCAGAUCCUCAGAUGAAUGAGGAGUUUGAGAACAAGACUGUUAUCCUUCAACAACAUCCAGAUUGGCAGUCCAGGGAGAAACUGAGAUGGUUCAUCAGCACAUCGCUUGUUCAUGCAGAGGUGAGCGUGUUAUUUUGUUGUCGGUUCUGUUAUUAAUCAGUAAUGAUGAAAGUGUAAAAACUAGUAUGACGCACGUUAUGCUCUUCUAUUUCCUGAACUAGAAGUGGGUGAAUGUGUUUGGAAAUGAGAACCUGAAUGUGUUUGCUUUUAAAAAUAAAGGUGUUGAAAGGAUGUUCUGAAGCA
ensembl:lncRNA